CAGCAGCCGCGGGAACACGUAGGUGGCAAGCGUUGUCCGGAAUUAUUAGGCGUAAAGGGCUCGCAGGCGGUUUCUUAAGUCUGAUGUGAAAGCCCCCGGCUCAACCGGGGAGGGUCAUUGGAAACUGGGAAACUUGAGUGCAGAAGAGGAGAGUGGAAUUCCACGUGUAGCGGUGAAAUGCGUAGAGAUGUGGAGGAACACCAGUGGCGAAGGCGACUCUCUGGUCUGUAACUGACGCUGAGGAGCGAAAGCGUGGGGAGCGAACAGGAUUAGAUACCCGCGUAGUCCCUGUCUCUUAUAA
rnacentral:rRNA from 1 species